rnacentral:rRNA from 1 species
CCCUAUUAUUAAUGGAUAAAAACAAAUUAGAGAGUAGGAAAACUGAAAACUAUCUAGAAUGGCGGUUUUUUUUAUUCUCAGAUAAAUGUGUUUUGAAAACGAAAGUGCACGAACAUCUUUCUUACCCUUGAAAGAUCCAUCUUGUACACCGCCGUCUGAAGGAUCAGAUUAGCUAUCUAAUCCUAUUUCUAUUUCUUAGAAAUAAGUCAGGUAAGGUGCAGAUAAUGGAUAAGAAAAAAUGCAUUUCACUAAAAUCAGCAAGGAAAAAUUUGAAACAAUAUAUCUAAGAAGAAUUUGAAAGUAAGAUUUUUUCAUCAAAAUAAUCUGAAAUUAUACCAAAAAAAUGUACACAUCG